rnacentral:rRNA from 1 species
UACGUAGGGGGCGAGCGUUGUCCGGAAUCAUUGGGCGUAAAGCGCGUGUAGGCGGCCCGGUAAGUCCGCUGUGAAAGUCCAGGGCUCAACCCUGGGAUGCCGGUGGAUACUGUCGGGCUCGAGUCCGGAAGAGGCGAGUGGAAUUCCUGGUGUAGCGGUGAAAUGCGUAGAUAUUGGGAGGAACACCAGUGGCGAAGGCGGCUACCUGGACCGGUUCUGACGCUGAGGCGCGAAAGCGUGGGGAGCGAACAGG